GAUGAACGCUGGCGGCGUGCUUAACACAUGCAAGUCGAACGAAGCACUUUGGACAGAUUCUUCGGAUGAAGUCCUUAGUGACUGAGUGGCGGACGGGUGAGUAACGCGUGGGUAACCUGCCUCAUACAGGGGGAUAACAGUUAGAAAUGGCUGCUAAUACCGCAUAAACGCACGGUGCUGCAUGGUACAGUGUGAAAAACUCCGGUGGUAUGAGAUGGACCCGCGUUGGAUUAGCUAGUUGGCAGGGUAACGGCCUACCAAGGCGACGAUCCAGAGCCGGCCUGGGAGGGUGGACGGCCACAUUGGGACUGAGACACGGCCCAGACUCCUACGGGAGGCAGCAGUGGGGAAUAUUGCACAAUGGGGGAAACCCUGAUGCAGCGACGCCGCGUGAGCGAAGAAGUAUUUCGGUAUGUAAAGCUCUAUCAGCAGGGAAGAAAAUGACGGUACCUGACUAAGAAGCCCCGGCUAACUACGUGCCAGCCGCCGCUGUAA
rnacentral:rRNA from 1 species